rnacentral:rRNA from 1 species
UUAAAUUGAAGAGUUUGAUCAUGGCUCAGAUUGAACUCUGCCGCCAGACCUAACACAAGCAAGU